AGCCGCGGUAAUACGUAGGUGGCAAGCGUUGUCCGGAUUUAUUGGGCGUAAAGCGAGCGCAGGCGGUUUUUUAAGUCUGAUGUGAAAGCCUUCGGCUCAACCGAAGAAGUGCAUCGGAAACUGGGAAACUUGAGUGCAGAAGAGGACAGUGGAACUCCAUGUGUAGCGGUGAAAUGCGUAGAUAUAUGGAAGAACACCAGUGGCGAAGGCGGCUGUCUGGUCUGUAACUGACGCUGAGGCUCGAAAGUAUGGGUAGCAAACAGGAUUAGAUACCCUGGUAGUCCAUACCGUAAACGAUGAAUGCUAAGUGUUGGAGGGUUUCCGCCCUUCAGUGCUGCAGCUAACGCAUUAAGCAUUCCGCCUGGGGAGUACGGCCGCAAGGCUGAAACUCAAAGGAAUUGACGGGGGCCCGCACAAGCGGUGGAGCAUGUGGUUUAAUUCGAAGCUACGCGAAGAACCUUACCAGGUCUUGACAUACUAUGCAAAUCUAAGAGAUUAGACGUUCCCUUCGGGGACAUGGAUACAGGUGGUGCAUGGUUGUCGUCAGCUCGUGUCGUGAGAUGUUGGGUUAAGUCCCGCAACGAGCGCAACCCUUAUUAUCAGUUGCCAGCAUUAAGUUGGGCACUCUGGUGAGACUGCCGGUGACAAACCGGAGGAAGGUGGGGAUGACGUCAAAUCAUCAUGCCCCUUAUGACCUGGGCUACACACGUGCUACAAUGGAUGGUACAACGAGUUGCGAACUCGCGAGAGUAAGCUAAUCUCUUAAAGCCAUUCUCAGUUCGGAUUGUAGGCUGCAACUCGCCUACAUGAAGUCGGAAUCGCUAGUAAUCGCGGAUCAGCAUGCCGCGGUGAAUACGUUCCCGGGCCUUGUACACACCGCCCGUCACACCAUGAGAGUUUGUAACACCCAAAGUCGGUGGGGUAACCUUU
rnacentral:rRNA from 2 species